rnacentral:rRNA from 1 species
UUUGAUUUAAGUUUAUUAUUAUUAUUAUUUAAAUAAAAAAUUUUUUAGUUUAAGUAUAAUUAGAAAAAAUUAAUUUUGUUAUAGUUUAUUAGUAUAGUGAUAGAAAUAUAUUUAAAAAUUUAAAAGAAGAAUUUUUUUUGUACCUUGUGUAUCAGGGUUUAUUAAUUAAAUAUUAAGAAUUUAAUUUUCUCGAUUUUAAAAGAGUUAAUAUUUUAUAAAUUUUAAUGUAAAAUAAUUAUUUUUAAUAAAAUAUUAGUAAUGAAACGUUAUUCGUUUUUAAAUAUAUCUGGUUUUUAAAGAAAUUAAUUUAAUUAAUUUUAUAUAAAAAUAAUUUUUUUUAAUAAAAAAUAUUUUUUAUAUAAAUAAUAUUAUUGGGGAUAAGCUUAGUAAUAAAUUUUUAAAAAUUUAUAAUUAUUUUAAAAAAUAUAAGAUUAGAAGUUUUUAUUUUAUAAUGUAUUAUAACUAAUUUUUUAUAAUUAAUGAUUUUUAUAAAUUUUAAGUUUUUUAUUUAAAUAUUUAAUUUAAUAAAAUAAUUAAAGUAAUAAUGAUAAAAUUAGUAUAUUAAUUUUUAAAGUUAAUUAAAAAUUUAAAAUUAAAUAAAGGAAUUCGGCAAAUAUAUUUUUCGCCUGUUUAUUAAAAACAUGUCUUUUUGAUUAUAAUUUAAAGUCUGACCUGCCCAAUGAUAAAUUAAAUGGCCGCAGUAUUUUGACUGUGCAAAGGUAGCAUAAUAAUUAGUUUUUUAAUUGAAAGCUGGAAUGAAUGGUUGAACGAGAAAAUUUCUGUCUCUAUUUAAUUAAUAUAAUUUUAUUUUUAAGUUAAAAAGCUUAAAUUUAUUUAAAAGACGAGAAGACCCUAUAGAGUUUUAUAUAAAAUUUAUUUUUAAUAAUUUAGAAAUUUUAAAUUAGAAUUAAAUUUUAUAUUUUGUUGGGGUGAUGAAAAAAUUUAAAAAACUUUUUAUUUAAUUAAACAUUUAUUUAUGAUUAUUUGAUCCAUAAUAAUGAUUAAAAGAUUAAAUUACCUUAGGGAUAACAGCGUAAUUUUUUUUGAGAGUUCAUAUCGAAAAAAAAGAUUGCGACCUCGAUGUUGGAUUAAAAUUUAUUUUUGGUGUAGAAGCUAAAAAAUUAGGUCUGUUCGACCUUUAAAAUUUUACAUGAUCUGAGUUUAAACCGGUGUGAGCCAGGUUGGUUUCUAUCUUUAAAAUAUUAAAAUAUUUUAGUACGAAAGGACCAAAUAUUUAUAAAAUUUAUUUAUUUUUGAAUAAUAUUGUUAU